CUCUCUCUCUCUCUCUCAAAAAUAAAAAAUAAAAUGAAAAAGGAAGCAAAGCAUUACAUCAUGAGUAAAAAUCAUGAAAAGUGCUGAUUUUCAAGAAUAGCAAAUAUGCUCAUGUGACAAGCAUGAGGGGGAAAGAAGAUAAAUGGGAGAUGAAGUGGAAGAGGUAAGUUAGAGCCUGAGUGUGGAGAGUAUUAUUAUUCCCAGAUAGUUUGAUUUGAUUCCAAAAGCAGUGAGGAGAUGUUGAAGGCUUUUUGAGCAAGAUGACAUCAAUUUUAGGAUACUUACAAUAUAAAGAAUUAUUUAGAGAGAGGAAAGACAGUGAGGAGGUGGAAACUCUAUGAAUUAGCAAGUGGAUGGAAAAGGUGUAGAUUGGGAAGUCAUUUAGUUAGCAGCUAUCAGAUUUGACCCUAUCCCCCAAAUGAAUGUUCACCUCAUGUAAUAAAGUCACAAGUAGGUAAUAGACACUAGGUGUUGGGAAUACAAAGAUGAAUUAAAGGUCAUGGCACAUGAAAUAGCUUGUGUGUGUGGAAUUAUGAAAGUUUCAAAGACAGCUGAAAUUUUUAGCCUGAGUGCUGCCACUGACUUAAAUGAAGAUAUCAGAGGAAAAAUGUGGAUUUGGCAAAAAGACAACUAGUUAUGUUUUCAACCAAAUGUGCAGUACAAUUAAGGUGAUGUCCUGUGGAACCUGUAAACUCAAAAUGUGGGUCUACAACUUAAGGGGGAGAAGUAUCACUUUUGGGCUGAUAAACCAGGAAAUUGGGGCUGGCAUGUCUGGGACCAUGCUGGCCUUUUCUUUCUUUUCUUUCCCCCACUUCCUCUUUACUAGGGCGAAGAAACUGGGAGUUUGGUUAUAUACUAGAUUAACUGAGCUAAUAAAUACACUGAGAAUCAUGGAGAAAGGGAAGGCAAGAAUCAACCCUGUAGUAUUGGACUGGAAUUGGAAGUAUCAGAAUGAAUCCAUGGUACUUAAUAUACAGAGAGAGUGGGAGAAACAGAUACAGCUGUGUGUGUGUGUGUGUGUGUGUGUGUGUGUGUGUGUGUGUGUGUGUGUGUGUGUGUGUGUGAAUACAUAGUUUCUAACUCUGCUGAUAGAGCCUAGAAGCAAUGAUACUCUAGAAGCAAUGAACACACUUAGUGGGCAGAUCUUGGUUUCUAAAUUCUCUUCUUCACUAAAAGAAAUCAAACUCCUUGGAGAAAUUAUUAAUUCCGAGACUGAGCAGGGAGAAUACAAGAUGAACCUGGAACAUCAUCUUGCACCAGAAAAUAAGAAAGUGCUCAAAGAGUGAUGGGUGCAUGCCAAAAGAACCCAGGAACUAGCUUAAAGGAGUUCUUAUUUCUGGAAACAUUUGAGCAUGAAAUGAUGACAGUAAUGUUUUAUAAUGCUUUGAGUAAAAUAGUAAUCCACAAGCUCAUCCUGGCAUAAAGGAAUAAAUAAAUGGGGAAGAAGGAAAUACUCUGUUCUACAGUUGAUUUAUUGCCAAUCAAAUCCAGAGGGAAUGAUGGAAUCAGAAAAAUCUAUUUGCAAUAAUUACAGAAAUAAUUAUGUAUCUAAGAAUCCUUGAAGGGUGCUAAAUAUGGUGGGUGAAAACUUGAUGGCAAAUAGAAAUAUUCACAUAGUCUUAAAGAAUCUCCCUAUUAGAUAGUUAUUAUGAAGUAUAAUAUACCUAUUUGUUUACCUAAUCCUCAAGAAAUCUGGCAGAAAGUAUCUUAACCAAGAGAUUAAAAUUAGAGUCAUCAGUAAUGAGACAAAUCACCAAUGUAUGUUUCUUACUAUGCACCAAGAAAAGCACAACAUUCCUUAGGUGGUAUAUUACUGUCUGACUCGCUCAGUGUUACUCUAUUUCAUUUUAGAUCAACAAAAGACAUACAAAUUCAGAUUAGACAAUUUGAGAGAAACCGUAUAUCAAAACCUCUUGAAAACAUUCUACCUGGCAGCCAAAACUUGUCUGGACAAACCUAUUUUUCUUCCUGGUGCGGCAAAAAAAAAAAAAAAAAAAGGCUACUCUUUGACACAGUUCUGAGGUCUGAUCAUCUGCAGGUGUCCGAGGUCAUAUCUAAGUUUGUUCCAGCCAUCCAGAAUACUCUACAAUGCCCCUGGCUCUGGAAGAGGAAAGGGACUGACAGUGUUAACUGAAUCCAUUUUGAAUGAGACAUACAUCAUGCCAAUGUCAUUCACUGGAAACUGUAACCAGCUUGGUUGGCUAGUCCCUUGCCCAUGGAAUAUUGGUUUUUCAGAC